rnacentral:lncRNA from 1 species
UGCGCCGGAAUACGGAUACGGGGCCAAGCCUACAUUUUGCCCCAUCCAAUUGCGCUUGCUCUUUUGACGAGUCAGAGACUUGCUGUACGUGUGGCACGAGGUGGCCGGCCUGCUGGCGGGGUACCUAUCCAUGAGCCUUCCUGAACACCCUGUGCCAGCAGGCCAGGACCCCACCAAGACGCAUCAUGUGCCGACAGUGACAUACAAUGGAAGC